GGAUCUGGGAGUAGUGUGACUGUGACAUCCUUCAUCCCGGGGAUCUCCAGGGUUGAUUAGGCUGAUCUAGCUGGCUAAUCAUGUGUUCCCUUCCUCUCAGUUUGCUCCACAUGCAUCCCUCCCAGAGCUGCACACCCUGUCAAAGAUGAUGACCUUCCCUGACCCAGGAAGACCAUUGCCUGGUCAAACGUAUGGGAGUAGCUGCCCUCCCCUGCUAGAGUCUCUAAAGAAGCUACUGAUGGGCUGGAGGCAGGGUUGCUUCCUCUUUCUCCUCACUCAAACACAAGACUGUGU
rnacentral:snRNA from 1 species